rnacentral:rRNA from 1 species
AUUGAACGCUGGCGGCAGGCUUAACACAUGCAAGUCGAGCGGAGAGAGGUAGCUUGCUACUGAUCUUAGCGGCGGACGGGUGAGUAAUGCUUAGGAAUCUGCCUAUUAGUGGGGGACAACAUUUCGAAAGGAAUGCUAAUACCGCAUACGUCCUACGGGAGAAAGCAGGGGAUCUUCGGACCUUGCGCUAAUAGACGAGCCUAAGUCGGAUUAGCUAGUUGGUGGGGUAAGGGCCUACCAAGGCGACGAUCUGUAGCGGGUCUGAGAGGAUGAGCCGCAACACGGGGACGGAGACACGUCCCAGCCUCGUACGGGAGGCAGAAGUGGGGAAUAUUGGAGAAUGGGCGCAAGCCUGAUCCAGCCAUGCCGCGUGUGUGAAGAAGGCCUUAUGGUUGUAAAGCACUUUAAGCGAGGAGGAGGCUACUUUAGUUAAUACCUAGAGAUAGUGGACGUUACUCGCAGAAUAAGCACCGGCUAACUCUGUGCCAGCCGCCGCCGUAAAAC